rnacentral:rRNA from 1 species
CCUACGUGAGGCAGCAGUGGGGAAUAUUGCACAAUGGGCGAAAGCCUGCUGCAGCAACGCCGCGUGAGUGAUGAAGGCCUUCGGGUCGUAAAACUCUGUCCUCAAGGCAGAUAAUGACGGUACUUGUGGCUGAAGCCCCGGCUUACUACGUGCCAGCAGCCGCGGUACUACGUAGGGGGCUAGCGUUAUCCGGAUUUACUGGGCGUAAAGGGGUCGUAGGCGGUCUUUCAAGUCAGGCGUGAAAGGCUAAGGCUAAACCUUAGUAAGCGCGUGAAACUGGGAGACUUGAGUGCAGUAGAGGAGAGUGGAAUUCCUAGUGUAGCGGUGAAAUGCGUAGAUAUUAGGAGGAACACCAGUUGCGAAGGCAGCUCUCUGGACUGUAACUGACGCUGAGGCACGAAAGCGUGGGGAGCAAACAGGAUUAGAUACCCUAGUAGUC